CACUUGAUAAAAACCUUCCUAAUUAGGUGAUAGCUUUCUCCACUUCAUAGGCUGUGAGACUUUGACGCACCGCAGCAUCAAAUCGUCGACUCAGAGUUCCUUAGAGUUGACUGAGAAAUUAUAGUAUUUGGCCACCCUUUAUCGGUAGGAGGCCAUUCGCGCAGUAGGUCGUUCUCUACUCUCCUCAGCCAGGUCAAGGUUGGUUUGCAACCAUUUUGAAUUGGUGUCCUCGUUGUACUCCUUAACUCUGAGAGAAAGAAGUUCGAUCUCAACUAGUAUAACUACUUCGAUUCUGAAUGUAAGGUUGAAUGGAGUUUCUC
rnacentral:lncRNA from 1 species